UCCGAUGUGGUCUAGUGGUUAGGAGUACGUUUCGCCUGAUCCACCUGGCUAUCAUUCCAGUCCGCUAACCUGCUGUCCCAGUUUCUCGCUCUCAUCUCUUCAGUAGAGAAAGCGCCGAGGAGGCCGGGGUUCGAUUCCCCGCAUCGGAA